GACGAACGCUGGCGGCGUGCUUAACACACGCAAGUCGAACGAUGAAGCUGGAGCUUGCUCCGGUGGAUUAGUGGCGAACGGGUGAGUAACACGUGAGUAAUCUGCCCUUGACUCUGGGAUAACUGCGGGAAACUGUAGCUAAUACCGGAUACGACACCUUCGGGCAUCCGAUGGGUGUGGAAAGAAUUUCGGUCAAGGAUGAACUCGCGGCCUAUCAGCUAGUUGGUGGGGUAAUGGCUCACCAAGGCGACGACGGGUAGCCGGCCUGAGAGGGUGACCAGCCACACUGGGACUGAGACACGGCCCAGACUCCUACGGGAGGCAGCAGUGGGGAAUAUUGCACAAUGGGCGAAAGCCUGAUGCAGCAACGCCGCGUGAGGGAUGAAGGCCUUCGGGUUGUAAACCUCUUUUAGUUGGGAAGAAGCGAAAGUGACGGUACCAACAGAAAAAGCACCGGCUAACUACGUGCCAGCCGCCGCAGUAA
rnacentral:rRNA from 1 species